AGCGCGGAUGGUACGUGGAGAGUAAAGGGACAGAAUUCAUAAAGAGUAUAUUUCCUACAGAUGUAAUCAUAGACAACCAAGAAUCGAUAUUUCAGCAAAUAGCUCAAACAUGCAACCGUGUAAACAAACAUGUCAGCAAUAACUGUCAUCGAGGUGAAGAAGUGGCAAAGUGCUUAAAUGAAGAAAUGGAGAAGGUACUACAGAAUAAAGACGACGGGAACGAGAUGGAGCCCGAAAAGGAAACUGCGGUAA